rnacentral:lncRNA from 1 species
UUUGUUUCAUGUGUGUGUGUGUGUGUGAUAUUCAGAUCUUCAGCAUAUUUUAUUUUUUCUUGGGAAUGUCUGCUUAUUCCACCAUCUCCUGUUUGCUCCAAAUGAAGUCAUACUAAUUUAAGCCUUUAUCACCAGAGUGUUCCUAAAUGAAACAUUCCCUGGAGCCUAUAUCUAAUCCUUUUCCCUAGCCCAGAUUCAUCUCUGUCUAUCUUUCUUACAUAUGACUGAAAGAGCUGCUUCCCUGAAGCAAUUUCUUUUAGGAACUCACUUUCUUAUUCCAAAAAUCAGAAGAGCCUCCAAUCAUUUAUCCUGUCAAAAGCAAGACUUAAAAGCCACCCCUAAAGGAGUAACGGAGGGGGUUAAGGCAGGACUAGUUCACAGAGUGAUAAACCUAUGAAAUUCUGAGGUCGGAAACUUAAAUUACUGUCCUAUUUAUGCAGUAGUGGAUAGAAGUUAAAACUGAAGACACAUUUGGAGGUCAAGAAGAGAUUAGCCAGGGAUCACCAGGUCCAAUUCUCGUCCUUUAUGUCCUGUUUCACAUGUGAAAGGAAGCUGCACACAUCCAGAGAUCUGCCCUCCAUCCACACAUCACCCAUUCCUGUCUCCUUGCUUUUUGCUUAGGGCACUCCUUUUCCUUGGAGUUUCUUUUCAGAAUUGCUAAAA